CCUUUGACCAUAAAAGUAAUUAUAGAAUUUGCUAGAGGAAGAGAAUAAGAGCUGACAUCAUCGCUAUCAUUAUUGAUGGAAGCUUCAAACUGAGCCAAGUGAUUGUUAAUGUUUCCAAGGUCAACAAAGCCAAUCAGUCUACCAUCAUGUCUAUAAUAAAUAAAUAAAUAUUAAAUUGUUUAGCUCACUGUCUGAUAGCAUUUGUUGUCCAAAUGGAAACUUCAUAUCAAAGUUUUUAUAAUAAUUAUCAGAAUUCGACUAUUUUAAUUAAUAACACAAAGAGAGAGAGGUUUAAAGUAUGCUAGCAUUGCUAUAUCUUACUGUUGUCAAGUUUUUUGUCUAUAAUAUUUAAUAUUAUAGACAAAACAAAUCUCUACUACUCUAAACAUGCAAAAACUUCAGACUAGCUUUUCUUUAUCAGAUGGAGUCCCACAAAGACAAAAGGCAUAACAAGCGCUACUGGCAGUAUUAUAAUACAUUUCCGUAUAAAAGACCCUUAUUAUUAUAGAUUUGCUACGUAAGUAGCUAAUAAUAACUUUACCUUGUGCCCUUUUGGUCUAUUGUUGAAGAAACAGUCCCACAAAUUUAUACAAGAGCAAGAACUAUUGCGCCUGUGUUUACAUAGAUAAGAGAGCCAAGCGCACAAACAAGGAUAGCUCACGCCUAUUUAUAGAAUGCGUGGGCGGUUUCCAAUCCCUGUGGGUGUAAUAUCUAUGAUUUAAAUGUAUUGUAUUUAUUUUUGAGGUUACUUGAAGUAAGAGGAUGUUAUUAUGAGCUGUUAACUCAUUGUAUACCACCUGAUAUUAUUUUUAAAAGGAUAUUAAAUGAGCUGGUUGCUACAUGUAACUGUGAUGGCACAUUGAAAGCUAAAGUGACUCAAUUAGCAGCUCAGUAUCAAGCUCAGUCACAACUGGGUAGUAAAGCAAUCUUUCAUCUUGAGGCCUUCACAGCAAAAUUUAUGAGAAUAUAUAAACAAUUUUUAGAGGAAGGACUGGAGAGUAUGGACUUCUGAUGUAAUGCAUGCCAUGAUAGACAGUAGAGAUUUUUGAACACAAAUAAUAUACUCAUUAUUUUGUCACACUAUGUACCCAUUAUGGUAUUUAGCUUAGCCAUA